GAAAAUAUAAAUUACCAUUUUUCAAGUUGAGAGAUUACUAAAGCAUAUAUUUUGAGAGAUAAGUUAUUUAAGUUCUUUGGUUGAGUUUUGUAUUGAUCCAUCAUCUAAGAGCUGACGUAGGGGCCAUGCUGGGUUGGGAACUAUUUGUGUGUCACCUUUAGCUCUGAUUAAAUGUAAUUUGAAUUUAAAGAAAAGUCUAUUUGUAAUUUUGAAACUUAAAUAUUUCAACAGAUCAAAUGAAUAUUUACAAUCACUCAGUUUUCUUUAUUCUGUUUAAAUCUUGAAACAUGUAUUGGUUUUGUACAGUUUUAAUUUAUCCGUGCUCCGCAUGUGAAUUUGUGCAUCUACUUUGAAACUACUGCUUACAAUCUAGAAUUGAAAAGAGCAAUAAACAGUAUAUAUGUAUAUCUGUACAAAAUAAGUAGCAAUUAUUACUGGAAGCUAUUUUUACAGAGAGAAUGUGAAUAUGAGUUUUAUGGUAAAAGGAUCAUAUUUUUGCACCAUACUUAACAAACAAAACAAACACUGAAUUUUCUUGUAAAUAUUGCAUAAAACAGCAUGCCCUAUAUUAUUUUAAUUACCGCUAAUCUGUAUAUUCGUUUGAUACUAAUGUUCUAUCUGUCCUUCUGUCUGCAGGUUCCUGAUAUCAACAGCUUGGAGCAGAGAAUGACCAACCUCUGGAAAACUCAGGCACGUAAAUUUCUGUCUCGUCGGCAGCAGGACGUCCGAGACCAAUGUCAGGAGUACAUGACAAGUACUGCAAAUGUAGACCUGACUUCACCCGAAGCUGUCGAGAAACAGAGACGGACAGCUGAGAGGGAAGCUCGCAGAUCUCGCAGAAGACGAGCACGAGAAAUGAAAGACAUUGUGGGACACCAUGAUGGCUUGUCAUCAGACGACGAAGAAAAUCAAUCAGAAAUAGCAAAAUAUAACGUGGAAAAAGGUGGCACUUUUACCCACAAUCCCCUGUGCUGGCAGAUGACAUUAAAAUGUUCAAUAAUUAGAUAUGAUACUGCCCAAUAACUGACUUGAAUGUUUGAGAGAUGAACACAAGAGGGAAAUAUUCCCCUAUUGAUUUGGGAAAAUCAUAUGUAUGAUAAACCCAUUGUACAUGUAUAUGUACAUAUCUAUGUUGUGUAUGUUGUGACAACUGAACAUUGCUCUGGUGUCUGGAAGUGCCCCGCCCACCUCUGAUACAUAGUGCUCUGGUCACUAAAAUGCUUCAGAUUAUGAGCUUCCAUGUGACAUGAUAAAGAGUAUGACUUACUGUCUAUCAUACUUGAUAUGACAUACUGUGUGAAUCAGCUUCCUAUAAAGUUGAAAAUAUUUGUAUAAAAAACUCAAUACUGUCUUUAAUUCUGAAUUUUUCUUACAUUUAAGUGUUCCUUCCUGUUGUAGAAUUGUUUUAAUGGGUUGUUGAUUUGUUGUUUAGAGUCGAUACUGUCGGGCCAGGAGCGGGUGUUUGAGGACGUGGUGGAGGAUUUUAGUGAGGUGGACAGCGUACGUGAACGCUUCGAGGACUGGAAACAGACCUACAAGGACACGUACCAGGACGCAUACAUCGGGCUCUGUCUGCCCAAACUCCUCAAUCCCUACAUACGACUCAGUCUCAUCAACUGGAAUCCACUGGAGGCUGAUUGUAUGGAUUUUGAAGACACAAAAUGGUUUGAUACUCUUGUAUUUUAUGGCUUCAAACUGCAAGAGACGAUAGCCAAAGAUGACGACGACAUUCGACUACUCCCAUCUAUUGUAGAAAAAGUUGUAUUACCAAAGUUAUCUGUUAUAGCUGAGUCGGUGUGGGACCCUCUAUCUACCACUCAGACCUCCAGACUCGUUAAUGUCAUCUCCAAACUGGGCCGAGACUACCCCUGUAUCCAGGCCAACAAUAAGGCCACACAGCAUUUGCUUAAUGUUAUUGUGAGAAGAAUAAGGAAAACACUUGAAGAUGAUGUGUUUAUGCCUCUUUAUCCCAAGUCGGUAUUGGAGAACAGAUCAUCUAAUGCUUCAGUGUUUUUCCAUAGACAGCUCUGGGUCUGCAUAAAGUUGCUAGGGAACAUCCUGAGUUGGCAUGGUAUUUUGUCCAAUCAAAUGCUGCGUAGUUUGUCACUAGAUGGAUUACUCAACAGAUAUAUCAUCCUAGGUCUUUGUAAUUCUGGUGUAAACAAAGAAACCAUACAGAAAUGUCAAUCAAUCAUCUCCACAUUCCCCAAGGAGUGGUUUGAGGAUCUUGAAGACGACAAGACGAUGCCCCAGCUAGAGAAUCUGGGUCGGUUCCUGGUGUCGGUCGCCCGUACACUGUACAGUGAGGGUCAGCAGAACAAAAGGGACUUCGACAAGAAGGACUCCAGGGAUUUCAUCAAACAGAUCAGUAAGAUGCUGGUCAACAUUCACGCAAUGGAGUACGCCGUCAAUCUACCGAUGUGAGCUGUAAGUCAGACUGAAGUGAGGAUAAAUCUACAGAUCAAACAAACUCAACAAACUCAACAGGCACACAGAGUGAAGUCUCUGUGUCUUGAGUCUCCUCUAUCCCUCCAAGGCUACAUACAUUCUCAAGUUCUUGUUGACUUGUUAAAACAUCUGCAGAACACACCGUUAUCAGGCUUAGCAUCAGCUUAUGGAGAACCAGAGCUUUUAUUGUCAGCUUGAAAGAUUUGAUCCAAGAACUACAAAGUCAUUACACAAGGCCACUGUUAUAAGUGACUGAUUCGAUGUGUAUGAUUUGUGCUUUUACUGGAUGUAUUGGCGAUGUUUUCAAGUUAAACAAAUAUAUGUUUUGUUUUAUGACCAAGUCAUUGUUUUGCAUCAUUUCAACAUUAAAAAAAGAUGAUU
rnacentral:misc_RNA from 1 species